UCUGUCAAUUAUUACUCUUCAGUCCCUUCACCUUCGCUUUAUCUUCGAGGUAAUCAACUUUCUCUCUUCUCGAUCGAACAUGAAAACCCUCACCUCUCUUUCUCUUCUCCUCUACAAGCACCCACCGUUCCUUUCUUCUUUUCUUUCUGCCGGCGAAAUUGGGUCCCGUGCCUCCAUAACAAACUGCGGCGACCUCAAGGCCCACAUUCUCGUAGUGGUUCGGCGAUGGUUUCGGUGAUUCUAGGCGAUCCGCGGUGGCGACUAGCGGUUCUUGGCGCUUCACGGCAGCGGGUCAAGGUUCUUGCACCACGGGGGAGGGGGGCUCCAAUGUCUAGGGCUUAAACGGGAGCCCCUCUGCUGCUAGUUGACUUAUACUCUCACCGUUCGCUGGGGACAAUAAAGGUGUAUCCGAGGGUUUCGAUAAUAUCUUCGGAGGGGGUACACUUUCGCUAUCUCAACCUUGGUUUAACUUCACUAGUUUUCCUUCUAGCAUUUUUCGCCUGCCUAGCGAUACUCUGAAAUUUAAAUUGUGUAUGAUAGAUUAGGACCUUCUUUUGAUGCGUGGUGGCAAACUUGGGGGAUUAGGGACAUGUUGUCUCUAUGUGCUGAUUCCGUUCCCUGCGACACUCUUAUGACUAAGGCUUUGUUAUGUUUCUGGAGUUCUAACAUUAACGCCUUUGUAUUUUCCUUUGGGAUCUUAACCCUCACUGUGUUAGACGUAGUGGCUAUCUUAGAGCUACCAUCGAAAGGAAUAGAGCCCCAUCUAUCUCUGUUUUGUAAAUCGGAUCACUUAUUCAUUCCUAUGGCAUACUAUAGUAACACUACUGUGAGCCAAUUCCUCGCUUCCAAUAAGCUAUCUGGGGGUGUCGAAUUUUCCGAGAACAAUGCAUUCCUCGUGUAUUGGUUUAGCAAGUACUUCACUUGUUGUGCGUAGAAGGGAGUAGUUAGGGAGGCCAAACUAUUACUGAAUGCCAUCAUUUCUGGUGCUGAACUUGAUUUAGCUUCAUAUUUUUUGGGCAUGUUGUACCAUGGUAUAAAUGAUUUCCUAUGGAAGCUCUCUGCCUUGACUUCUCGCAAACCGAUAGGGGCCGGCCCCUUAUGGUUCCUUGAAUUGUGGCCACGGCUAUACUUUCCUGGUUUAAUUAGCCCGUGUCCUGACCCCCCCCAUUUAGCCAACUCACUGUAUUGGGUUCAUACUUAGCGUUGUAUCAUACUUUUAAAGGUAACCUUCAUUCCGUAACAUAUUCCAUCUUGCGUGAGACUGAUCGGCCUUCAGUUGACUUCUGUCAUCUAGUCGGCCACCCUGCUGGUCCUGAUUGGCCAACUGUUUCCAGCGGCGACAAUUCUGCUGCUGACAACACCCUCCGUGCAACCUACUGAAAUAAAUGCCUAACUGCCCGUGUCUUAGUCGGAGGCUUAGUCGUAGGGUCUUGGUACAAUCCUUUAAUUGGGGAGAUUUAUCAGCCUCAAUAUUGUGCUUGACAAUUCGGAUUGACUCAAGGGGUUCCUCUUACCGCCCCAUCUCAAACGGAAUCAAAGUGUAGAGCUGGCAGCCGUCGAUGCCUAGCGGACUUAUAUUAGCGAGCUGGAGAACCUUCCUUAUUCGUUCCAUCCUCUAAAUCCGAAUACCUUACCUUCUUUCGAUCGAUGAUGGAUCAGUUUCCUUGCCCAUAUGGACCUGAAUGUUCUACGAUUGUCCUUAGUUAGGCUGGUUGACGAGCAUUUGAGUGAUGAGGAUUCGCUUGAUGCCAUUUUUGACGGGGUAUGCCUUCUAUGUCGAGUGUCCGACCCACGUCAUCUUCCACAGUUUGACGCUCUCGGAGGUUGAGUUCGAAACCUGCCGUGCCCAAGUUACGGUCCAAACGGCCUGCCAAACAACCAACUUUGUCGCCACCUUCAUCUCAGGCCCCUCCCAAGAAAACCAUCUACUCUUUCGUUUCUUCGGCCAGGAAAACAACUCCGUUGCUGUCCGCCAUUCAGGUUUCCCAAAUGGAAGUCACUCAUGAACCCACUGCUCGGUUGGCAGAACAGUCCAUAUCUUCGCCGUCUUCUUUUCAGGUUUCUCAAGGAAAGAUUACUCCGGAAACAACAGUUGAAUCAGUACAGACUUGUUCCCUUACUCCAAAUAAUCCUGAUUGCACCAAGGCGUCCGCAUCUCAGAUCGUCCCCCUGUUCCAGUCUCAAUCCCCCCCGACGUGGAAGCAUACUUUGCUCCGGAACUUGAUGAGGAUACCCUUUUCCUUUCGGUUACCGGCGAGUUGGAUCGAUACCCUUUUGCCUCUCAUAAAUCCUCUCUACCAGAGGAUUCGGGGACUCUAGACUCCUUACAGGUAUCCAUUUUAGCUAUGGCUACCACUCUGCCCUUGCAUUCAGAUCGUAGAAGGCAGCUGGAGGAUCUCGCUGAUUGUUUAAGGGAGGCUUCCGGAGGACUAAAGAUGAUGUAGGGCUUUCGUAACGCCAACGACAGCAAACUCAAAGAGCUAGCGGCCCUGGAGGCGGAGAAAGCGACCUGCGCCCAUAACUUCUUAGAUGAAAAAUAGUGAGCCAAGGAUGAGACAACUUACAUAGAGGGCCUAUGUACUGAGGAGGCAGCUUUGUGGGCCGAACUGAGUCGGAUUCAGAGACGCUUGAAGGAGAUCCCACCGGAGUUGGAUCGGGUAGCGGCGAGCCCUGCCGCUAGGGCCUUCUGGAGGUUGGAGCAGUACAAUCAGGCGCGGGCUUUGGAUGAGCCCUUUUUAGGGCUUCGUGGGCAGAAAAUCAUCUUUGAGAAGAAUUUCCAAUGAGCCGAGAGAGGACUGGAAGAGCUGCAUUUGGCAUGGCCUGAUAUGAUGGCCUAGUGGACUUCUUCGCGCUCCGAAUAUCCGGAGCCGGCCGACCCGCACUCCCCGACGUCGGUCACUACUGUUGGGGAGCCAUGCACCACAGAUGCAGUGCCCAAGCCGCCGGCUAAGGGCACUUCUGUUGAUGAUACCGGGCUUGUGGAUGUUAAUAUUAAUCGUGAUGUGGGUUCAGACCAUCCUCCUAUCGGCUAGUAUAUUGCCUCGUUAUUGGACAGUACUCCGCGUGACUUAUUUUGGCUGGUCUUUUUGUCCCUUUUGCGAUAACUUGCAAAUGGGCACGGUGAACUGUGUCCAUGAAUAUUAAAUAGUGCCUCGUAUAUCUUGUUUUGAUGGUAAUGACCAAUUUGUGGUGUACCUUUUCCUUUUA